rnacentral:rRNA from 1 species
UACAGAGGGUGCAAGCGUUGUUCGGAUUUACUGGGCGUAAAGCGUGCGUAGGCGGUAUUGGGAGUCGCGGGUGAAAUCCCAGGGCUUAACCCUGGAACUGCCUGCGAGACCUCAGUACUAGAGUGUGAGAGGGGAUGGUGGAAUGCCAAGUGUAGCGGUGAAAUGCGUAGAGAUUUGGCGGAACACCGGUGGCGAAGGCGACCAUCUGGCUCACAACUGACGCUCAGGCACGAAAGCAUGGGGAGCAAACAGG